UACGGGAGGCAGCAGUGGGGAAUAUUGCACAAUGGGCGAAAGCCUGAUGCAGCUAUGCCGCGUGUAUGAAGAAGGCCUUAGGGUUGUAAAGUACUUUCAUCGGGGAGGAAAAAACAAAACUAAUAAUUUUAUUUCUUGACGUUACCCGAAAAAGAAGCACCGGCUAACUCCGUGCCAGCAGCCGCGGUAAUACGGAGGGUGCUAGCGUUAAUCAGAAUUACUGGGCGUAAAGAGCACGUAGGUGGUUUUUUUAAGUCAGAUGUGAAAUCCCUGGGCUUAACCUGGAAUUGCAUUUUGAAACUGAAAUACUAGAGUAUCGUAGAGGGAGGUAGAAUUCUAGGUGUAGCGGUGAAAUGCGUAGAUAUCUGGAGGAAUACCUGUGGCGAAAGCGGCCUCCUAAACGAAUACUGACACUGAGGUGCGAAAGCGUGGGGAGCGAAACAGGGAUUAGGAUACC
rnacentral:rRNA from 1 species